rnacentral:rRNA from 1 species
AACGAACGCUGGCGGCAUGCCUAACACAUGCAAGUCGAACGAGACCUUCGGGUCUAGUGGCGCACGGGUGCGUAACGCGUGGGAACCUGCCCUUAGGUUCGGAAUAACUCCCCGAAAGGGGUGCUAAUACCGGAUAAUGUCUUCGGACCAAAGAUUUAUCGCCUUUGGAUGGGCCCGCGUUGGAUUAGCUAGUUGGUAGGGUAAAAGCCUACCAAGGCGACGAUCCAUAGCUGGUCUGAGAGGAUGAUCAGCCACACUGGGACUGAGACACGGCCCAGACUCCGACGGGAGGCAGCAGUGGGGAAUAUUGGACAAUGGGCGAAAGCCUGAUCCAGCAAUGCCGCGUGAGUGAUGAUGGCCUUAGGGUUGUAAAGCUCUUUUACCCGGGAUGAUAAUGACAGUACCGGGAGAAUAAGCUCCGGCUAACUCCGUG